GCCUCAGCGGGCAGCUCGCUCUGUUCCUCCCCUUCCUCCUCUCCCUCUUCCUCCUCCUUCUCUGGAUGGACGAUCUCAAUCUUCAGGGUCACACAUUCGACGGAGCGGUCUUUAAAUGUUUUCUCCAGCUACAACAGAGUCGGCCUGUGAAUAUUCCUGUUGUGAAGGGUGUCAUGUGACUGGAUGGAGAUGUCUAGAUGAGGGCAAAAGCAGAAAUGGGGGGUACAGCACCCAAAAUGUCUCCCUUCCCCCAGUGCGACUCGGCCGUCCAUGCGCUCCAAUUACGGAAGAGACACGCGUACUUCAUCCGGACUCUGAAUGUGUAAUUUCUCCCGCUGCCUUUCGCAAAAGGCUGGAGUGUGAAAUUGAACGAAAGCAGAACAAAAUCCUGAGACACAAGAAAGAGACGCACGUGAAUAUUGGGGCAGAGAUACGGGGGUGCAAUGUGCAACCUAAAAAAAAGAUAAAAUGAAGAACAAACCAUUCCCUUUAUGGCACUAUAAACUGUACCAAUCUCUA